GUGCUUGCUUCGGCCGCACAUAUACUAAAAAUGGAACGAUACAGAGUAGAUUAGCAUGGCCCUUGCACAAGGAUGACACACAAAUUUAUGAAGUGUUCCAUAUUUUA